GACGAACGCUGGCGGCGUGCUUAACACAUGCAAGUCGAACGGAAAGGCCCUGCUUUUGUGGGGUGCUCGAGUGGCGAACGGGUGAGUAACACGUGAGUAACCUGCCCUUGACUUUGGGAUAACUUCAGGAAACUGGGGCUAAUACCGGAUAGGAGCUCCUGCUGCAUGGUGGGGGUUGGAAAGUUUCGGCGGAUGGGGAUGGACUCGGGGCUUAUCAGCUUGUUGGUGGGGUAGUGGCUUACCAAGGCAUUGACGGGUAGCCGGCCUGAGAGGGUGACCGGCCACAUUGGGACUGAGAGACGGCCCAGACUCCUACGGGAGGCAGCAGUGGGGAAUAUGGCACAAUGGGCGGAAGCCUGAUGCAGCAACGCCGCGUGCGGGAUGACGGCCUUCGGGUUGUAAACCGCUUUCGCCUGUGACGAAGCGUGAGUGACGGUAAUGGGUAAAGAAGCACCGGCUAACUACGUG
rnacentral:rRNA from 1 species